UCUGAAGUGGCAGCAGGGAGCAGCGCAGCAACAUCUCCACACAGACACCAGCGGGUUUCUCUGCACGUCUGCUUCUGUCAGUCUCUAAAUGUGAUUGUGUGACGGGUCGGUGACCUGACCCGGUGACCCUGUCCCUGACGGCAGCCUGCACGGGGACAAAGUACUUGAAACAUCCUGUCUCACACGUACUCAGCUGCUGACGUGUGGCGAGGUCACAUCAGGUCAGUUGGCAAACUAAUGAUGCUGAUGCUUCUGCACCAGACCCAGAGGGAUGUUGGACUAGCUGUAUGAGUGCUGCAGUGCGUG